GACGAACGCUGGCGGCGUGCCUAAUACAUGCAAGUUGAGCGAUGAAGAUUGGUGCUUGCCCCAAUUUGAAGAGCAGCGAACGGGUGAGUAACGCGUGGGGAAUCUGCCUUUGAGCGGGGGACAACAUUUGGAAACGAAUGCUAAUACCGCAUAACAACUUUAAACAUAAGUUUUAAGUUUGAAAGAUGCAAUUGCAUCACUCAAAGAUGAUCCCGCGUUGUAUUAGCUAGUUGGUGAGGUAAAGGCUCACCAAGGCGAUGAUACAUAGCCGACCUGAGAGGGUGAUCGGCCACAUUGGGACUGAGACACGGCCCAAACUCCUACGGGAGGCAGCAGUAGGGAAUCUUCGGCAAUGGACGAAAGUCUGACCGAGCAACGCCGCGUGAGUGAAGAAGGGUUUCGGAUCGUAAAACUCUGUUGGUAGAGAAGAACGUUGGUGAGAGUGGAAAGCUCAUCAAGUGACGAUAACUACCCAGAAAGGGACGGCUAACUACGUG
rnacentral:rRNA from 1 species